CGCUAUCACUCCUACGGGAGGCAGCAGUGGGGAAUAUUGCACAAUGGGGGAAACCCUGAUGCAGCCAUGCCGCGUGUGUGAAGAAGGCCUUCGGGUUGUAAAGCACUUUCAGUAGGGAGGAAGGUAGUGUAGUUAACACCUGCAUUAUUUGACGUUACCUACAGAAGAAGCACCGGCUAACUCCGUGCCAGCAGCCGCGGUAAUACGGAGGGUGCGAGCGUUAAUCGGAAUUACUGGGCGUAAAGCGCAUGCAGGCGGCCUGUUAAGUCAGAUGUGAAAGCCCGGGGCUUAACCUCGGAAUUGCAUUUGAAACUGGCAGGCUAGAGUCUUGUAGAGGGGGUAGAAUUUCAGGUGUAGCGGUGAAAAUGCGUAGAGAUCUGAAGGAAUACCAGUGGCGAAGGCGGCCCCCUGGACAAAGACUGACGCUCAGAUGCGAAAGCGUGGGGACGCAAACAGGACUUAGACUACCCUGGUAG
rnacentral:rRNA from 1 species